rnacentral:rRNA from 1 species
UACAGAGGUCUCAACCGUUGUUCGGAUUCAUUGGGCGUAAAGGGUGCGUAGGCGGUCGCGCAAGUCGGAUGUGAAAUCCACCUGCUCAACAGUUGGGCUGCGGAGGAUACUACAGCGCUAGGAGGCGGGAGAGGCAAGCGGUACUCAUUGGGUAGGGGUAAAAUCCACUGAUCCAUUGAAGACCACCAGUGGCGAAGGCGGCUUGCCAGAACGCGCUCGACGGUGAGGGAUGAAAGCUGGGGGAGCAAACCGG